UACAGAGGUCUCAAGCGUUGUUCGGAUUCAUUGGGCGUAAAGGGUGCGUAGGUGGCGCUGUAAGUCGGGUGUGAAAUUUCGGAGCUUAACUCCGAGACUGCAUUCGAUACUGCGGUGCUUGAGGACUGGAGAGGAGACUGGAAUUCAUGGUGUAGCAGUGAAAUGCGUAGAGAUCAUGAGGAAGACCAGUGGCGAAGGCGGGUCUCUGGACAGUUCCUGACACUGAGACACGAAGGCCAGGGGAGCAAACGGG
rnacentral:rRNA from 1 species